rnacentral:rRNA from 1 species
UGGGGAAUAUUGCGCAAUGGGGGGAACCCUGACGCAGCCAUGCCGCGUGAAUGAAGAAGGCCUUCGGGUUGUAAAGUUCUUUCGGUAUUGAGGAAGGUUGAUGUGUUAAUAGCACAUCAAAUUGACGUUACCCACAGAAUAAGCACCGGCUAACUCUGUGCCAGCAGCCGCGGUAAUACAGAGGGUGCAAGCGUUAAUCGGAAUUACUGGGCGUAAAGCGCGCGUAGGUGGUUAUUUAAGUCAGAUGUGAAAGCCCCGGGCUUAACCUGGGAACUGCAUCUGAUACUGGAUAACUAGAGUAGGUGAGAGGGGAGUAGAAUUCCAGGUGUAGCGGUGAAAUGCGUAGAGAUCUGGAGGAAUACCGAUGGCGAAGGCAGCUCCCUGGCAUCAUACUGACACUGAGGUGCGAAAGCGUGGGUAGCAAACAGGAUUAGAUACCCUGGUAGUCCACGCCGUAAACGAUGUCUACCAGUCGUUGGGUCUUUUAAAGACUUAGUGACGCAGUUAACGCAAUAAGUAGACCGCCUGGGGAGUACGGCCGCAAGGUUA